rnacentral:rRNA from 1 species
GUGGGGAAUCUUCCGCAAUGGACGAAAGUCUGACGGAGCGACGCCGCGUGAGUGAAGAAGGCCUUCGGGUCGUAAAGCUCUGUCAUCAGGGACGAACGGCCGGUGGAGUGGAAAGCCACCGGAUUGACGGUACCUGAGAAGGAAGCCACGGCUAACUACGUGCCAGCAGCCGCGGUAAUACGUAGGUGGCAAGCGUUGUCCGGAAUUAUUGGGCGUAAAGCGCGCGCAGGUGGGAUCUUAAGUCCAUUUUUAAAGUUCGGAGCUCAACUCCGUGAUGGGAUGGAAACUGGGAUUCUUGAGUACCGGAGAGGAAAGCGGAAUUCCCCGUGUAGCGGUGAAAUGCGUAGAUAUGGGGAGGAACACCAGUGGCGAAGGCGGCUCACUGGCUCGAUACUGACGCUGAGGUGCGAAAGCGUGGGGAGCAAACAGGAUUAGAUACCCCGGUAGUCC